CCUCAUCCGUUUUCUCUCCUCGCCCUCCACCUUUCUCUAUCUGCUUCAUCUUCGCCCAGAAAGCACCCACAGUAGAAAUAAUACGUCUUCACCUCUCUCUUAGCUUCGAAGCUUCAUUUUGGUAUGGAGGAAGGAAUAAGGCGCCGUAAUCUGUUCUCAAUUUCGAAGAGAACGUGAAGUGUUGAAGGUCGGAGGAGAAAGGACGAGCCGAUUUGAUUAGAGGUAAGGAGGAGGUAUGAGGAGAAAGGAGAUGCCAAUUUGAUUUAAGGUUCGCCAGAGCCAAGUAAGAGGAAUCAUCAGCCUAGGAGGAGAGCUAAGAGAUACCGCCCUGAGCAUUACCCAUAGCUUCUUCAAGCUGUUCGAGCUUCUGGGCAACAUUCUCCAUGUUCGACGACCUCACCUUGUAGCUAAUCACAGCUAGAAGCUCGUCCAUGCCACUAUCUUCGUUCUUUCUUCCAUUCUGAAAAAUCUUGUCAUCCCGUUAUGGACCACCUUGAAUUUGCUAUGCUUUCGCUACAUUAACUUUCUAAUUUCAUUAACAGAAUCGAUUUUCUCUGAGUGUUUGCCAAGUUUUCAUUUUAUUUAGAAACAAUAGAAGGUUGCAUAAUUUUCUUGCUAUUUCUUUCGUUCGGCGCACCUUUAGAUUCAGGCAUUCUUACCUAAUUCAAAGCACUCGACAGCUUCUUGCUUUCUUCUUGCUCGGGAGCGCUGUAUCCUCCCAAUCUUGUGAUUGCAUGAACAGGUUCAAUAGCAGAGAAAAGCCAAUGAUAGAGAUACAACAUUGAAAGAUUUGAUGUUGCCAUGAGCGCUAUUUCCCACCUUCCCACUUCACAGGUAAAGUCAGGAAUAUAGGUCAAGGUUGUGGGUCCUGUUUAAAUAAAAAUUUAGAUUUUAAAAAUUAAUUUUUUUAAAGGAAUCGGAAUUGAGGGCCUGGUCCUGAUAAGCCCUGUAAAAAAGAGCUCAGGCCCGGGUGACUCUUCAAGUCCGAAUAAGCCUGAUUAUUUUAUACACACACACACACACAUAUAUAUAUAUAUUGAUUGAUAAUGACACAAUUUGAUUAAUAUUUAUUGUAAGUGAUGAAAAGGAAGUUGUAAAGGUAAUUGACAUUGAAUUUUCACCUUCAUUUUGAACAAGUACACUUACAUUCGAGAAAUCUAAUGUUUUAUUUGUAGAUAAUGAGGAUGAGGAGGAUUUGGGUUUUGAUUGAUGAAUGUGUGUUAUUUAGAUUUCUAAAUAUGUUAUUAAUUUUUUAAAUAUUGUGUGUAUUUUAAUUUUAAAAUAUUUUAAUUAAUUUAUAAUAUUUAAUUUAAUUUAAUUUUUUUUAAUAAGUCUUCUAGGCCCAACUCUGAACCCUUUACACAAGGGUCGAACCUCAAAAAAAGAUAUUAAAGAUGGAUAACCGGCUUAAGGACCUAGACCCUUAAGGAUCGGCUCGCCCGUAUUUUCAACUAUACUCACUGAUUGACAACAGAACACAAAAAUUAUUGUUCUUACGAGAUUCAAGUCCCAUUAUACGACCGUCUCGCCAAUAUCUACAUUAUUAAGGAAUUGGUUUUGGUGCUCAUCCUAAGAUCGUGGUGCUCAGCACCAAAAUACUACCAUUUGGCAGUGUUUUCUUUUUUUAAC